rnacentral:rRNA from 1 species
AUGCAGCCACUCCAGCUUUCACGCAUGAGAUACAACGAAAAACUACCGAUAAGUUCCCUUGGCAUUGCUCUUGUGAUGCUCAUGUCCUUGGCCGCUAUCACUAGCUCCUGCACAGAGCAAGAGAAGGCCUCCCUCCUCAAGUUCCUCACUGGGCUCUCACAGGAUGGUGGCCUUGCCGCGUCGUGGCGGAAUGGCACAGAUUGCUGCACGUGGGAAGGGAUCACCUGCAGCAUGGAUGGGACGGUUACUGAUGUCUCGCUGGCUUCCAAGGGUCUUCAGGGGUAUAUCUCACCUACUGUUGGCAGCCUCGCCGGAUUGUUGCGACUGAAUCUGUCAAACAACAUGCUGUCCAGUGGACUACCACAAGAAUUGGUGUCUUCCGGCAGCAUCAUCGCCAUCGACAUCAGCUUCAACCGCCUAGACGGAGAACUGCAUGAGAUGCCAUCUUCAACCCCAGUGCGUCCCUUGAAGGUACUGAACAUCUCCAGCAAUUUGUUUGCAGGACAGUUUCCAUCCUCCACAUGGGGGGCCAUGAAAGACCUGGUCGCACUCAACGCCAGCAACAACAGCUUUACUGGGCAACUGCCAACUCAUUUCUGCACCAGCUUUCCAUCCUUGGUUGUGCUUGAGCUCUCUUACAACCGAUUCAGAGGGAGCAUUCCACCUGAAUUAGGUAGCUGCUCCAUGCUCAGAGUGCUCAAGGUUGGCCACAACAACCUCAGCGGGACUCUCCCAGACGAACUCUUUAAUGCUACCUCUUUGGAGUUCCUCUCUUUUCCCAGGAGUGGUUUACAAGGAAUACUUGAAGACACAUAUAUUGCCAAACUCACUUUUUUGGUUACCCUUGAUCUUGGAGAGAACAACUUCAGUGGCAAGAUUCCAGAAUUUAUAGGCCAUCUCAAGAGAUUGGAGGAACUCUAUUUGAACAGUAAUAUCAUGUAUGGGGAGCUGCCAUCAACUCUAGCAAACUGCACAAAUCUCAUAACCAUCAACCUCAACUGCAACAAUUUCAGCGGACAACUCACCAAGGUCAAUUUUUCUAGCCUACCCAAUCUAAUGUCUUUAGAUCUUAUGCGGAACAACUUCGAUGGCACAAUUCCAGAAAGUAUAUACUCUUGCAGAAAACUAAUUGCACUGCGACUAUCUUCCAAUAAGUUCCACGGCCAGUUAGCAAAAGGGCUCGGCAAUCUGAAGUCCCUGUCGUUCCUGUCACUUUAUAAUAAUAAUCUUACAAACAUAACAGAUGCACUUCAGAUUCUUGGAAGCUCCAAGAACCUCAGCACCCUUCUUAUUGGGCGUAACUUCAGGCAUGAGACCAUGCCAGAGGAUGACACCAUUGGCAGUUUUGAAAAUAUUCGGUUUCUUGGUAUAAGUGAUUGCCCAUUAUUCGGAAAAAUACCUUUCUGGAUAUCAAAGAUAGCAAAUUUAGAGAUACUAAUAUUGUCUAACAAUCAGCUCACAGGAUCGAUACCAGCCUGGAUCAAAGCUCUAAGCUAUGUCUUCUACCUUGACAUAUCAAACAACAGCCUCACAGGGGAAAUUCCAACAACAUUGACCGAUAUGCCAAUGCUAGAGUCAGCCAAGACAGAUGCCAAUUCGAACCAAAGGGUCUUCAUACUGCCUGUUUAUCCAACUCUAUCACAUCAAUAUCGCCAACCUUUUGCUUUCCCUAAAUUGCUGGAUCUAAGCAAUAAUAAGUUCACUGGUGAGAUCCCUUCGACGAUCGGUCAAUUGAAAUCCCUCCGUUCACUCAAUUUGAGCUUCAACAACUUAACAGGUCAGAUCCCAGAAUCAACAUGCAACCUCACAAGCCUGCAGGUCCUAGACUUGUCCAACAACAAUCUCACAGGUGCGAUCCCAGCUGCAUUGGACAGCCUGCACUUCCUUGCAGCGUUUAACGUUUCUGACAAUGAUCUAGAAGGUCCUAUUCCAUCUGGAGGCCAGUUCAACACAUUUGGGACUUCUAGCUUUGACGGGAAUACAAAGCUCUGCGGAUCUAUGCUCAUUCAUAAAUGUGGUUCGGCAGAAGCACCUCCUGUCAAUGUUCUGACAACAAAACAAACUGAUUACAAGGUGGCCUUUGUGAUUGCCUUCAGCACGUUCUUUGGUGUAGGGGUGUUGUAUGAUCAGAUAGUCUUAUCUAGGUAUUUUGGCUAG